GAUGAACGCUGGCGGCGUGCCUAAUACAUGCAAGUCGAGCGAACGGACGAGAAGCUUGCUUCUCUGAUGUUAGCGGCGGACGGGUGAGUAACACGUGGAUAACCUACCUAUAAGACUGGGAUAACUUCGGGGAACCGGAGCUAAUACCGGAUAAUAUUUUGAACCGCAUGGUUCAAAAGUGAAAGACGGUCUUGCUGUCACUUAUAGAUGGAUCCGCGCUGCAUUAGCUAGUUGGUAAGGUAACGGCUUACCAAGGCAACGAUGCAUAGCCGACCUGAGAGGGUGAUCGGCCACACUGUAACGGAGGCACGGUCCAGACUCCUACGGGAGGCAGCAGUAGGGAAUCUUCCGCAAUGGGCGAAAGCCUGACGGAGCAACGCCGCGUGAGUGAUGAAGGUCUUCGGAUCGUAAAACUCUGUUAUUAGGGAAGAACAUAUGUGUAAGUAACCGUGCACAUCUUGACGGUACCUAAUCAGAAAGCCACGGCUAACUACGUG
rnacentral:rRNA from 1 species